rnacentral:tRNA from 3 species
GGAGGGGUGGGUGAGCGGUUGAAACCACCGGUCUUGAAAACCGGCAACCCGCAAGGGUUCGAGGGUUCGAAUCCCUCCCCCUCCG